rnacentral:rRNA from 1 species
UACAGAGGUCUCAAGCGUUGUUCGGAUUCAUUGGGCGUAAAGGGUGCGUAGGCGGCGCGGUAAGUCGGGUGUGAAAUCUUGGAGCUUAACUCCGAAACUGCAUUCGAUACUGCCGUGCUUGAGGACUGGAGAGGAGACUGGAAUUUACGGUGUAGCGGUGAAAUGCGUAGAUAUCGUAAGGAAGACCAGUGGCGAAGGCGGGUCUCUGGACAGUGCCUGACGCUGAGGCACGAAGGUCAGGGGAGCAAACGGG